rnacentral:rRNA from 1 species
GCGGUGGAUGAUGUGGAUUAAUUCGAUGCAACGACGAAAACCUUACCUACCCUUGACAUGUCAGGAAUCCUGGAGAGAUCUGGGAGUGCUCGCAAGAGAACCUGAACACAGGUGCUGCAUGGCUGUCGUCAGCUCGUGUCGUGAGAUGUUGGGUUAAGUCCCGCAACGAGCGCAACCCUUGUCAUUAAUUGCCAUCAUUCAGUUGGGCACUUUAAUGAGACUGCCGGUGACAAACCGGAGGAAGGUGGGGAUGACGUCAAGUCCUCAUGGCCCUUAUGGGUAGGGCUUCACACGUCAUACAAUGGUCGGUUCAGAGGGUUGCCAACCCGCGAGGGGGAGCCAAUCUCAGAAAGCCGAUCGUAGUCCGGAUUGCAGUCUGCAACUCGACUGCAUGAAGUCGGAAUCGCUAGUAAUCGCGGAUCAGCAUGUCGCGGUGAAUACGUUCCCCGGGUCUUGUACACACCGCCCGUCACACCAUGGGAG